AUGAAGUUGGCGACUUGCAUUCGUAAGGUGGCCUUGGAGGAGUUUGGAGUGUCCAGGGGAAGGAGAAGCGAAGAUAAGGAUACCUGGUGGUGGAAUGAUGAUGUCCAGAAGGCGCUUAAAGAGAAGAAAUAUUGCUUCAGACGCCUAUACCUGGAUAGGAGUGCAGACAACAUAGAGAAGUACAAGAUGGCGAAGAAGGCCGCAAAGCGAGCUGUUGGUGAAGCAAGGGGUCGGGCAUAUGAGGACCUCUACCAACGGUUAGGCACGAAGGAAGGUGAAAGGGACAUCUAUAAGAUGGCUAAGAUCCGGGAGAGGAAGACGGGGGAUAUUGGCCAAGUCAAAUGCAUCAAGGACGGAGCAGGCCAACUCUUGGUGAAGGACGAAGAGAUUAAGCAUAGAUGGCGGGAGUACUUCGAAAAGCUGUUCAAUGGGGAGAAUGAGAGUUCUACCAUUGAACUAAAUGACUCCUUUGAUGAGACCAGCAUGCGUUUUGUGCGGCGCAUCCAGGAGUCUGAGGUGAAGGAGUCUUUAAAAAGGAUGAAAGGAGGCAAGGCGAUGGGCCCUGAUUGUAUCCCCAUUGAGGUGUGGAAAGGUCUCGGGGACAUAGCGAUAGUAUGGCUAACCAAGCUUUUCAACCUCAUUUUUCGGGCAAACAAGAUGCCAGAAGAAUGGAGACGGAGUAUAUUAGUACCAAUCUUCAAGAACAAGGGGGAUGUUCAGAGUUGUACUAAUUAUCGUGGAAUUAAGCUGAUGAGCCAUACAAUGAAGCUAUGGGAGAGAGUCAUUGAGCACCGCUUAAGAAGAAUGACAAGCGUGACCAAAAAUCAGUUUGGUUUCAUGCCUGGGAGGUCGACCAUGGAAGCCAUUUUCUUGGUACGACAACUUAUGGAGAGAUAUAGGGAGCAUAAGAAGGACUUGCAUAUGGUGUUCAUUGACUUGGAGAAGGCCUAUGAUAAGAUACCGCGGAAUGUCAUGUGGUGGGCCUUGGAGAAACACAAAGUCCCAGCAAAGUACAUUACCCUCGUCAAGGACAUGUACAAUAAUGUUGUGACAAGUGUUCGAACAAGUGAUGUCGACACCGAUGACUUCCCGAUUAAGAUAGGACUGCAUCAGGGGUCAGCUUUGAGCCCUUAUCUGAGCCCUUAUCUUUUUGCAUUGGUGAUGGAUGAGGUCACAAGGGGUAUACAAGGAGAUAUCCCAUGGUGUAUGCUCUUUGCGGAUGAUGUGGUGCUAGUUGACGAUAGUCGGACGGGGGUAAAUAGGAAGUUAGAGUUAUGGAGACAAACCUUGGAAUCGAAAGGGUUUAGGCUUAGUAGAACUAAAACCGAGUACAUGAUGUGCGGUUUCAGUACUACUAGCUGUGAGGAGGAGGUUAGCCUUGAUGGCCAGGUGGUACCUCGGAAGGACACCUUUCGGUAUUUGGGGUCAAUGUUGCAGGAGGAUGGGGGUAUUGAUGAAGAUGUGAACCAUCGAAUCAAAGCCGGAUGGAUGAAGUGGCGCCAAGCUUCUGGCAUUCUCUGUGACAAGAGAGUGCCACAAAAGUUAAAAGGCAAGUUCUACAGGACGGCGGUUCGACCCGCAAUGUUGUAUGGCGCGGAGUGUUGGCCGACUAAAAGGCGACAUGUUCAACAGUUAGGUGUGGCGGAGAUGCGUAUGUUGAGAUGGAUGUGUGGCCACACGAGGAAGCAUCGAGUCCGGAAUGAUGAUAUACGAGAUAGAGUUGGGGUAGCACCAAUUGAGGAGAAGCUUGUCCAACAUCGUUUGAGAUGGUUUGGGCAUAUUCAGCGCAGGCCUCCAGAAGCUCCAGUGCAUAGCGGACGGCUAAAGCGUGCGGAGAAUGUCAAGAGAGGGCGGGGUCGACCGAUUUUGACAUGGGAGGAGUCCGUUAAGAGAGACCUGAAGGAUUGGAGUAUCGACAAAGAGCUAGCUAUGGACAGGGGUGCGUGGAAGCUUGCUAUCCAUGUGCCAGAGCCAUGA
rnacentral:rRNA from 1 species